rnacentral:rRNA from 1 species
UACGUAGGUGGCAAGCGUUGUCCGGAAUUAUUGGGCGUAAAGCGCGCGCAGGCGGUCCUUUAAGUCUGAUGUGAAAGCCCACGGCUCAACCGUGGAGGGUCAUUGGAAACUGGGGGACUUGAGUGCAGGAGAGAAAAGUGGAAUUCCACGUGUAGCGGUGAGAUGCGUAGAGAUGUGGAGAAACACCAGUGGCGAAGGCGACUUUUUGGCCUGUAACUGACGCUGAGGCGCGAAAGCGUGGGGAGCAAACAGG